UAUAGAUGCAAAAUCAUCCUAAACCCGAUUUAAAACUCAUUUUGCGGCCCAAGGAAGAUUUUCGUGACAUUUUUCAGUCCGGUUAACCGGGCUGGCCCGGUCCAUGUAAUCAGCCCCUUAAAGAGGUUAACAUUUGAGCUUUCGGUCACGUGGUUCGUUGCAUGCACUCGGUUCGGUUAUUGGUGGGUUUCAGUAAGUGUUACAAUCCAAACGAUGGUCAACAUCGGAAAUGUUAGAACUUCCUGGAGCAAUUUAUUUUGCUUCAAAUACCAGACUACUACAUAAAGUGAAAAGGAGUGAACAUUAUUUUUUCACUCUAGUAACUCGUAGUGAGACCCACUAGGUAUUAGCAGUCUGUUCGUGCCAAUGUUGUUCUCUUUGUGUAAAUGUACUGCUUAGGUGUCUGUGCAUGGAUGAACGCAGCGCGCAGCUAGUAUCCAGAAUAUAGGCAGAUAAGUAAAACCUUGCCAGACUUAAAAAUUUUGUUUAUAUCUACAUGUUAUGUUCAUAAAUGUAUAGAAAUAUCAUGAAAUGUGUUAGGCUUUGGCUUGGGGUUAAAUCUAACCCUAUAACCUUAACCUUAAUCCAUUACGUGAUCUGUAUAUUUGUGUACGUAAUAUAUGGGUGUAGCCAAAAUUUUGUAUAAAAGCUGGCAUAGUUUUCCUUGGAUAGGAUAACUAAAUUGGAUGCAAAUGGUAUCCAUAGCUUAGAGGGUGCAAAUGGUACCCGUAAGAAGAUUGGUGGAUAUCGUGGUGGACAAGAUCAGCUUAGGACUGUAAUGACAAAAUUAUUGUAUUGAUAAAUAGUCUAGGCUUUAUUGAAUAAUAAAUUGGCUGGAAAUUUCUUCGCCCGUAGUGCAUGUAUAUCGCUGGUUUCGAACGUUAGUUUUCUACCCCGUGUUAUAUGAAAACAGUUCGCUACCAGAGAUUUAGGUCCCCUCACUGUUUUGACGGCUCGACGAUGGAAGACAUUAACAUAAGGCAUGCUAAUCUUACCCCUGUUUGUGGAAGCUCACCAGGUGCGAUCGGCACACUAGGUUAAGUUAAGCUAGGGGCAUGCCCGAGACUCCACAUUCGGGGGUUUCCCUUGCAGGUUCUUGAAAUGAUAUGUGCGCGCGCACUAGUUAGGAAGGUUAGGCAGCUAGAAAUAGGGCGCUUUGCAUGUAUACCAUAAGGCAUGUAUACUAUAACUCAUCGUCGUAUUUUUGCG